CGGGUGAGUAAUGUCUGGGAAACUGCCUGAUGGAGGGGGAUAACUACUGGAAACGGUAGCUAAUACCGCAUAACGUCGCAAGACCAAAGAGGGGACCUUCGGGCCUCUUGCCAUCGGAUGUGCCCAGAUGGGAUUAGCUAGUAGGUGGGGUAAUGGCUCACCUAGGCGACGAUCCCUAGCUGGUCUGAGAGGAUGACCAGCCACACUGGAACUGAGACACGGUCCAG
rnacentral:rRNA from 1 species